GUAGUCCACGCCGUAAACGAUGGGCACUAGGUGUGGGAGGUGUCGACUCCUCCCGUGCCGGCGCUAACGCAUUAAGUGCCCCGCCUGGGGAGUACGGCCGCAAGGCUAAAACUCAAAGGAAUUGACGGGGCCCGCACAAGCAGCGGAGCAUGUGGUUUAAUUCGAUGCAACGCGAAGAACCUUACCUGGGCUUGACAUGUAACUGACAGCCGUGGAAACACGGUCUUCCUUCGGGACAGUUACACAGGUGUGCAUGGCUGUCGUCAGCUCGUGUCGUGAGAUGUUGGGUUAAG
rnacentral:rRNA from 1 species